AAGUCGUAACAAGGUCUCCGUUGGUGAACCAGCGGAGGGAUCAUUAGCGAGUUACAGAACUCCAAACCACUGUGAACUUUACCUUUUUUUCAGAAUGUUGUUUCGGUGGGUAGUUGGUGGCAAGUUCACCAACGUGCCCUGCCCGGCCAGCUGGGCGCCUGCCGGCAGCACCAAAAAAUUCUUUAUAUUUAUAGCGGAGUUUUCAACUCUUCUGAGUAUGUUUAAAACAAAAUAAGCAAAACUUUCAACAACGGAUCUCUUGGUUCUG
rnacentral:misc_RNA from 1 species